AAAAAAAUGUUGCUCCAAAUUAUCUGAAUGGCAAUCGACAUUUAUUUUGUGAAGUCGUGGGUAGCUACGUGUACCAAUUUGAAUAAAUAAAAUGUGACGGGUUAAACGCUGUUUUAUUAUGUUAAGCGCAAAAGUUGUUUAGAGGCUAUGUGUUUUACACUGUAUAAAUUCCGGCGGUGAUAAUAAACAAUUUUAUUGAGAAAAAUACAUCGUGAUUAAGCUAAAGGCAUUAGUUUUAUUAAUUCGAGUUAAACUGUUGUGUAUCAGGUAUUGCGUCCUAAAAAAUAAAGAUGUGGUUAAAUCAGAGAAAAAUUCAAGAUUUCUGAUAUUGGCAUUAGGCAAAAAUGGACAAAGGUUUCUUUUUGUCCUGUUUUUUGGAAGUUUGCAGUUGGCGGUUCUUUAGCAACUUGGGCUGUUUUCUACUCAUCGCUAAGAGUAUGGAAAUCUCCAUUGUAUCGAAGUUUAUCCUGAAUAAGCUCUAUAACAUAAUAUGAUCUAAUAUUAGGUUUUUUUUUAUUAUUUUCCUUCUAUUUAAAUAGUAACUCAAUAUUAUAAUGUGAUUAUUUUCAGUAUAAUACAAAAAUGUAUUGGGUUGGUUUGUAUUAGUAGGGCUCCUCUUGUCAAGCAUUAGAAAGUGUUAAAGCUUUCGGUUUAAAAUUAAAAUUUUUUGCCUGUUCCACACA